GAAAUUGAAGAACAGAACACACCCUCUGUUUCUUCAAACACAGCAGGAGGUACAGAAAUGAUUACGGCGAGAUAUCGUUUCAGUCGUCACUCUCGGAAUUGACGAUUCGAUUGUUGCUCGUCCACAU